CAAGAAUAGGCCAAAAACUCAUAAAGAUCAUCCUAAUAGUACUAUGACGAGGACUCAGGAGCUACCAAAAUAUUGAGUAUACUAACAGAAGCAAUAGCAAUUGGAAGAACAUUUGCAGCCAUGAAGGACUAUCAGAUUGAUGGCAACAAAGAAAUGGUGGCAUUAGGAACAAUUAACAUUGUUGGUUCUUUGACCUCUUGUUAUGUAGCUACAGGUGAU